rnacentral:rRNA from 1 species
AGUGAACGCUGGCGGUAGGCCUAACACAUGCAAGUCGAACGGCAGCACAGUAAGAGCUUGCUCUUACGGGUGGCGAGUGGCGGACGGGUGAGGAAUACAUCGGAAUCUACUUUUUCGUGGGGGAUAACGUAGGGAAACUUACGCCAAUACCGCAUACGACCUACGGGUGAAAGCAGGGGAUCUUCGGACCUUGCGCGAUUGAAUGAGCCGAUGUCGGAUUAGCUAGUUGGCGGGGUAAAGGCCCACCAAGGCGACGAUCCGUAGCUGGUCUGAGAGGAUGAUCAGCCACACUGGAACUGAGACACGGUCCAGACUCCUACGGGAGGCAGCAGUGGGGAAUAUUGGACAAUGGGCGCAAGCCUGAUCCAGCCAUACCGCGUGGGUGAGGAAGGCCUUCGGGUUGUAAAGCCCUUUUGUUGGGAAAGAAAAGCAGCAGGUUAAUACCCCGCUGUUCUGACGGUACCCAAAGAAUAAGCACCGGCUAACUUCGUG